UCUUUCGCCCAAAAACAAGAUGGAAUUGUUCCUUGUUGUGUUGACAGUUGACAUUAUUUAGUAACCUUGACUGUUGACUGUGAUCAGCUGUGUUGCGUGGUGUGAUUUCUGUGUUGUGAAACAAAAUGUGGGCUGAUACGUUGUUGAUUCUUUUCAUAUCGGUAUGCACAGCGUUGUUGGGAGAAGGUCUUACAUGGCUGAUGGUAUACAGAACAGAAAAAUAUCAGAAACUAAAAGCUGAAGUAGAGAGACAGAGUAAAAGAUUGGAGAAACGCAAAGAGGCACAUGGUGACUCUUUUGAUAAACAACACAAGAAGAAAAUAGAAAGAGAAGAAGAGAAACUGAAGAACAAUAAUAGAGAUCUGUCUUUAGUGAAAAUGAAAUCAGUUUUUGCAAUUGGUUUUGCCUUCACUGCUCUUUUGAGCAUGUUUAAUAGUAUCUUUGAUGGAAGAGUUGUUGCAAGAUUACCUUUUGUUCCAAUUUCUUGGAUCCAAGGACUGUCUCACAGGAAUCUGCCUGGAGAUGAUUACACAGAAUGUUCCUUUAUCUUCUUGUACAUUCUUUGUACAAUGUCUAUUAGACAGAGAUGGCCCCUGUGGACUUUAUUUCCAACGUUGACAACCCCAUUGAAAUGGUGAAGAUAUGCAAUGAUAGUGCAGACAGGGCUUCACGCAAUCUGGCAAGAGGCAUACUAAGACUGCUUCUGGAAAUGGAAACGGCACUGAGAGCAAUGUAUCAAUUGUGGAGGAGAGUAUUUCGAAGGAGACUAUGCACUAUAAGUAAAAGAACAUCCAGAAGCUGCUUGGGUUUGCACCUUCUAGAACAGCAAGCAAGCAAAGUGGUGGCCUCUUUGGACCACCACCUCAACAGUUCAAAUAGUUUUCUGGACUUAUGCAUUUUUAAAUUUGUUUUUUGGAGUAAGUAAAUGUGGACACUUUAAGCAGGAGGCUACUGGAUGGUUGUUGGACAAAUAGGGACCCCCCCCUCCUCUCUCUCUCUCUCUCUCUCUCUCUCUCUCUCUCUCUCUCUGUGUGUGUGUGUGUGUGUGUGUGUGUGUGUGUGUGUGUGUGUGCGUGUGUGUGUGUGUGUAGAGAGAGAGAGAGAGAGAGAGAAAUAUAGUCUUUUAUUUAUUUAUUCAGUUUUUGAUUUAAGAGUGUGACUAAAAAUUCAAUAACUGACGUUUGAGAUUUUUUUAUGCACUGAAGAAAUAAUUAAUUGAGGAAGAGGGUGGUGUAGGAGCUGAAUGUAAUUAUUUCCUAGAAGUACAAUAAAAAUAAUAAUUAUUGAACACAUUUA